GUGGAUUCGAUACCCGAGUAGUCCACGCCCUAAACGAUGUCUACUAGUUGUCGGGUCUUAAUUGACUUGGUAACGCAGCUAACGCGUGAAGUAGACCGCCUGGGGAGUACGGUCGCAAGAUUAAAACUCAAAGGAAUUGACGGGGACCCGCACAAGCGGUGGAUGAUGUGGAUUAAUUCGAUGCAACGCGAAAAACCUUACCUACCCUUGACAUGUACGGAAGCUUUGAGAGAUCAGAGUGUGCUCGAAAGAGAGCCGUAACACAGGUGCUGCAUGGCCGUCGUCAACU
rnacentral:rRNA from 1 species